rnacentral:tRNA from 2 species
UGCGAGCUGGUGCAGUCGGCAGCACACCCGUCUCUGGAACGGGAGAGGGAAGUUCGAGUCUUCCGCUCGCAG